rnacentral:rRNA from 1 species
CUCCCUGAUGUUAGCGGCGGACGGGUGAGUAACACGUGGGUAACCUGCCUGUAAGACUGGGAUAACUCCGGGAAACCGGGGCUAAUACCGGAUGGUUGUUUGAACCGCAUGGUUCAAACAUAAAAGGUGGCUUCGGCUACCACUUACAGAUGGACCCGCGGCGCAUUAGCUAGUUGGUGAGGUAANGGCUCACCAAGGCAACGAUGCGUAGCCGACCUGAGAGGGUGAUCGGCCACACUGGGACUGAGACACGGCCCAGACUCCUACGGGAGGCAGCAGUAGGGAAUCUUCCGCAAUGGACGAAAGUCUGACGGAGCAACGCCGCGUGAGUGAUGAAGGUUUUCGGAUCGUAAAGCUCUGUUGUUAGGGAAGAACAAGUACCGUUCGAAUAGGGCGGUACCUUGACGGUACCUAACCAGAAAGCCACGGCUAACUACGUGCCAGCAGCCGCGGUAAUACGUAGGUGGCAAGCGUUGUCCGGAAUUAUUGGGCGUAAAGGGCUCGCAGGCGGUUUCUUAAGUCUGA